CACUGUUCAAAAUUAAAAUUAAAAGGAUUUUGAUAACUGGUCGCAAAAGAACCUUAUUUUGUCUUAGCGCCAUCUUUUUCGAAAUUGGCGACAAGCAUCAGAAAGCAAUUUUCCAUUUAAACAAUGUAUCAAUCCAUCAUGGCUACUGAAGUUGAUGCUGCCGAUAAGGAUUGCUUAGUUCGCGUUGCAGUACGAAUCCGACCGCAAAAUUCAAGGGAGCUAAUUGAUAUGUGCCGAGUAUGCACCACCGUAACUCCUGGCGAGCAGCAAAUUGUUUUGGGAUCCGACAAGGCGUUUACCUUUGAUUAUGUCUACGAUGUGGACUCAAAUCAGUGUGAUAUAUAUACCGAAUGUGUGGAGCGUUUGGUUGAGGGAACCUUACAUGGCUAUAAUGCUACAGUACUUGCGUACGGCCAAACUGGCUCUGGAAAGACAUACACAAUGGGUACGGGACUUGACCCCACUUCUGGCGACUAUCGUCUUGGAAUAAUACCUCGCGCAAUCCGACAUAUAUUCGCCGGUAUCGAAAGAACGCAGCAUCCAGAAGAUAAUGACGUUUCCGUUACAAAUUCACAAUUUAGUGUGGCUGUGCAGUUUAUAGAGCUAUACAACGAGGAUAUUAUUGAUCUUUUAGACCCAUUCAAUAAAAAUUCAACUUUUAAAAUUCAUGAAAGUGGCAACGGAGAAAUUAAUGUAGCGGGUGCAACGAUUAAGCCAAUAAAUGAACCCCAAGAGGCCCUAAAAUUUCUCCAGCAAGGCGCCUUAGCCCGUACAACUGCUUCAACUAAAAUGAAUGAUCUGUCUUCUCGAUCGCAUGCAGUGUUCACAAUAUUUGUUCGCAGACAGCAUGUCGUUGAGCCAAAAGUAAAUUUUGCGGAUAACGACUUUGAAACUUUGACGUCUAAGUUUCAUUUUGUUGAUUUAGCUGGCUCGGAACGUUUAAAACGAACAUUAGCCACAGGAGAACGUGCACGCGAGGGAAUAUCAAUUAAUUGUGGCCUGCUAGCACUUGGAAAUUGUAUCUCCGCAUUGGGAGAUAAAUCAAAGAAGGCUUCGCAUGUGCCAUAUCGAGACUCAAAGCUUACCCGUCUUCUUCAAGAUUCUUUGGGAGGUAAUAGUCAAACAUUAAUGAUUGCAUGCAUAUCCCCAAGUGAUCGGGACUUUAUGGAAACAUUGAAUACAUUAAAGUAUGCAAAUAGAGCUCGCAAUAUUAAAAACAAAGUUCAGAUUAACCAAGAUCAAAGUUCUCGAACAAUUUCGGUUUUGCGAAGAGAAGUCGCUGCCUUGCAAUUGGAGCUUUUGGAAUAUAAACAGGGUAAACGUGUGUUGGAUUCCCAAGGGAAUGCGUCAAUUUCAGAUACAUUUUAUGAAAAUACUAUGUUAUUGGCCGAUAAUAAACGUUUACAGCAGCGACUUAAAUCAAUGCAGGAGACUAUUAACAUAUUGGUAGAUCGAAAUGCACAGCUUAAACUGGAAAAACAAACACAUGAAUGGUCAAUUGGCGACAGCUCUGAUUUAACAGUCACCAAUUUGGUGGGAAAUUAUAUAAUUGAGAUCGAAAAAUUACAAGCGAAAUUGCUAGAAUCGGAAGAAAUGUGUCAACAAUUGAAAAAAUACAAUUCGACAGGAAAUUCACCACGUGCUAAUAAAACAGUUCGCGACGAUCCAAACGUUAUUAUAGACAUAGCAAAAAGAGGCUUAGAGAAGGAGCGGGAACUUUUAAUGUUUCGUUCAUUACCUGGCAUACCUAAUGAAAAUAAUCAUUUAAUAGAACUGGAAUUUUCAGACAGCGAAAGUGAUCCUAAUGAAAAAGAAAUGGAAGAUGAUUUAAAUGAAAUCAAUUCAGAUAUAGAAAUAAAAACUAAAUUAAUUGAACAAUUGGAGUUGUCUCAAGAGAGAAUGCAAGUUAUGCGGCAACACUAUGAAGAAAAGCUGACGGCGUUAACAUCGAAAAUCUUUAGCACUCAAAAGGAAAGAGAUGAGGUGUUAGCAAAUAUGGCUUCCUCUUCAAAUAAUCAACCAAAAGACAAUUUAAAAUCAGUUAAAAUUGAAUAUGAGCGUAAGCUCAACGACAUGAACCGCGAACUCAAAAGAUUGCAACAGACACAAAGAGAACAUAUUCGACAACAAAAGGAGCUUAAAACACAAGAAAUAAAACUGCAAAACUUGCGAAUGGAACUUAAUGAAUUAAAAUGUAGUAAGGUAAGGUUAAUGAAAAAAAUAUCAGAGCAAACAAGCCAGCAUAGAGAGGAAAAUACAAGAAAAACUCGAGAAAUCGCCCAAUUACGCAAAGAGCAGAGACGGCAAAAAAAUGAAGUUUUGUCCUUACAAGCCAAAAUGAGUGCAAAGGAGCAAAUUUUGAAAAGGAAAACUGAAGAAGUGUCUGCUCUGCGCAGAAGCCAGCGAAGUGGACAUGUAUGGCAAAGGACGAGUAAACAGUCAGCAUCAAAAAUGGAACAAACACGGUCCUUACAUCAUCGUUGGGAAAAGUUAUCUCGCACGAUAAUACAGUCUGCCAGAAACAAGCAGUUAAUCAGUCAAUUGGAAACUGAGUUGGAACGCCUUGUUAAAGAAAGGGAACAACUGUGCCGUGAAUUGAAAGUAAUUAAAGAUCCGCAAAAUAUUGAAGGGGGAUCUGAGUAUUCAAACGAAGAAGAUAAUCUAAAAACCAAUAUAGGCUAUGUACAGGAAAACAUAGAACAUGUUCAAAAAGCAAUUAUGGAGUUUGAAGAUAUGAAAGACCCCGUGCACAAUGAUGCGUUUAAGAUUCAGGGCAUCUUAGACACGAUAAGUACACUGGAAGAAGCGAAAUACUUGCUUCAAAAAUUGUCGGACAACGCUAUUUUUAUCACGUGUAAUUCGUCAAUGAUCGAAAACCGUUUGCAAGAACAUGAAGCCCUACUUAAAGAAGCUCAACAUGAAAGUGGCAUACAACAACAAAUUUUGCAAUUUUUUUUGGCAAACAGCAAUAAUGAUCAAAUUUUGGAUUUGUUUGAUUCUCUAAAUUCGGAUGACAAGCUUCGCUUAAAUCAUUUAAAUCGCAGCUGGUCGGAAAAGUCGCUAAUCAGCAACGGAACUUAUGAUAUUCCUCGCGAAGAACCAUCCUUUACCGAAGAGCAAGUGCCGGAAGCAAGAUGUUCGCCAUCCAACACAGAUAUUGAAAACAAAUUUGGAGUGCUCACGAUUUUAUUAGGUACAAAUGAAGCUUACUCUACAAUCAAUCAAUUAUUCGAAACAGUAUGCAAUUCCUCGGAUUACUAAAAAUAAUUUAAAGUUUGCUCUGACAAAAGUCCAAAAGUACGCGGACGUACAGCCCGCCGACACGAUCUCCUUUUUGGAGAAACAGGUUUACCUAACCAAACACUUAAACCACAUCAUCUUGACCAACUGAAUGUAAUUAUGGCAAGUGGAUCCGAGUCCUUCGAUUAAGAUGGUUGUUAAAAAUGUAUUUCUAUAAGUUUUUAUGCGAAUGUUAAAAUAACCUUACUUUAUAUAAUAAAAUAAAUCAUUGUACAAA